GGUUACAGUGAGGUCAACCUGCGGGAUCAGAGCUCAGAGCUCCACAACAGAGAUGCUUAAUGGUCUCGAGCAGUGUGACAGGAAGACAGUUAAAAGGUCAAUGCGAAGCCUGUUGUGAGGCUGAGGAUCACGGGGGGAUGAGGGAAAAGACUAAGGAGACAAUAUUAAGGAUUUAAACUGAAGAAGAGCUUGUCUGUACAUCUUUGUCAUGAAAUUAUGAAAGUGACAUUUUAUUUUGCUUUAAUUCUCACCACUAAAAAGAAGUAAAAAAGAAGUCUAGGCUUCAAGGACUGAUGUUAAACACGAGUAUCUUAAGAUGUUUGAAAGGCAGCUUACUUUCCAACGACAAUAAAACUAAAAUCUUUCAAAAAGGAUUCAAAAUCUCUUUA